rnacentral:rRNA from 1 species
UGACGGGACCCGCACAAGCGGUGGAGCAUGUGGUUAUUCGAAGCAACGCGAAGAACCUUACCAAAUCUUGACAUCCCACUGACAAAGUAUGUAAUGUACUCUUCCUUCGGGACAGUGGUGACAGGUGGUGCAUGGUUGUCGUCAGCUCGUGUCGUGAGAUGUUGGGUUAAGUCCCGCAACGAGCGCAACCCUUAUCUUUAGUAGCCAGCAUUUCGGAUGGGCACUCUAGAGAGACUGCCCGGGUGAACCGGGAGGAAGGUGGGGAUGACGUCAAAUCAUCAUGCCCCUUAUGAUUUGGGCUACACACGUGCUACAAUGGCGUAAACAAAGGGAAGCAAUUGGGUGACCAUGAGCAAAUCUCAAAAAUAACGUCUCAGUUCGGAUUGUAGUCUGCAACUCGACUACAUGAAGCUGGAAUCGCUAGUAAUCGCGAAUCAGAAUGUCGCGGUGAAUACGUUCCCGGGUCUUGUACACACCGCCCGUCACACCAUGGGAGUUGGGAAUGCCCGAAGUCUGUGACCCAACCGUAAGGAGGGAGCAGCCGAAGGCAGGCUCGAUAAACUGGGGUG